UAGGGAAUCUUCCACAAUGGGACGCAAGCCUGAUGGAGCAACACCGCGUGAGUGAAGAAGGGUUUCGGCUCGUAAAGCUCUGUUGUUAAAGAAGAACACGUAUGAGAGUAACUGUUCAUACGUUGACGGUAUUUAACCAGAAAGUCACGGCUAACUACGUGUCAG
rnacentral:rRNA from 1 species